CCUACGGGCGGCAGCAGUGGGGAAUAUUGGGCAAUGGGCGAAAGCCUGACCCAGCAACGCCGCGUGAAGGAAGAAGGCUUUCGGGUUGUAAACUUCUUUUGACAGGGAAGAGCAGAAGACGGUACCUGUCGAAUAAGCCACGGCUAACUACGUGCCAGCAGCUGCGGUAAUACGUAGGUGGCAAGCGUUGUCCGGAUUUACUGGGUGUAAAGGUCGUGUAGCCGGGCUGACAAGUCAGAUGUGAAAUCCGGGGGCUCAACCCCCGAACUGCAUUUGAAACUGUUGGUCUUGAGUAUCGGAGAGGCAGGCGGAAUUCCUAGGGGAGCGGUGAAAUGCGUAGAUAUUAGGAGGGAAACCGGUGGCGAAGGCGACCUGCUGGACUGCGACUGACGUUGAGGCCCGAAAGCGUGGGGAGCAAACAGGAUUAGAUACCCCAGUAGUC
rnacentral:rRNA from 1 species